ensembl:misc_RNA Metazoa_SRP Metazoan signal recognition particle RNA
GCUGGGCAUGGUGGCACGUGCCUGUAAUCCCAGCUACUCAGGAGGCUGAGAUAGGAGAAUCACUCGAACCCAGGAGAUGGAGGUUGCGGUGAGCCAAAAUUACACCACUGCACUCCAGCCUGGGUGACAGAGUGAGACUCCAUCUCAA